GCCAUUUCCCUGCUCUGAGACGUCGGACAAGUCACUCACUGCCAGGGCUGCAGUUUCCUGUCUCUAAAAGGAGUUGAUGAGCAGCUCUAGGUGGGGUGGCGAUGGGGGACUCAGGAGGUGCCCCGUGCCUGUGGUCCCCUGUUGAAGUUCACGCCUCCUCAAAUGCAGCGGCCACCCAGCGCUCGCUGGGUGCCAUAUGUGCCCCACAAAACACCUUUCCUCAGCCUCGAGGACAAGUACCACAGGCCAGUUCCGCGGGAAAAGUUAAUGGUGGUUUCCUCCAGGGUCCCUAAAGCCCCUCCUGAAAAGUGACUGUGGUUCCCCUCCCCCUGUCCUCAGGUUUUGAGUGGGCACAACCUAAGCUGGAUCUGAUAGGCCCUGUCACCUGCUGGUUCCUCCCUGGUUGACACCAAGCAGAGGGGCAAUGCUCUCUCCCUGUCCUUAGACCCAAGCAGGAGAAAAAUCUACCCUCCCUCCUUCCCUCCCCAUUCCCCAUCACACCGUGAUUGGCUUUUAAGCUUCAGGGAUGUUUCCCGGACCGAGUGUGGCUUCAGAGUCAGAGAGAUGUGAGUUCAAGACCACUUGCUUAGGUGGCUUUUGUGGACAAGAUGCGACCACCUCAUGAGGAUCAAGAUGUACUCCUUGCUCUUCUCUGCACAGCAGUCUCAAAACUAGGCUACACCGUCUGUCUCCUCUGGUCACCAUUUCGAGAGGCAGCAAGGGUCUUCCUAACCCUCAGCUCCCUCUGAUUUUUGGAAUUCAGAUUUGGAUUUUGGAUGUACAUCAAGAGGCUGGCUCCAUGCAUUUUAAUUAAGCUGUCUUUUUUCAUUUAUUACUAAUACACUCCUCUUAACUAUGAUUUAUUUGUUAAACAAAGCACCAUAAGCCGUCACUUAUUCAUCUUAAUUUCAACAAAAUUAAAGUAGUCGCUGUUAGAUUGCACCUAAUUGCACUUGCAAUGAAAAGAACGGAGAUGUUAAUCAAAAUAAAUUGAAGAUAAACAAUAAAAUCAUUACAUCUUUG
rnacentral:lncRNA from 1 species